CCUACCUCAAAAUUUUGCAUUCAACAGUGUCACCCCUUGUUUUCUCAGUCUUUGACAUUUAGCAGUUGAAUUUGAGUUUGAAUCAAAAUGAAGCCAUGUCCUUUUGUUUUCAUCAUGCUCCUUAUUAGCAUCGGUAAGUAUCAUUGUUCUUCCUUUUUAUACUUUGCUCUCGGCCCUACGUUGUAGAGAUAGACUUCUCUUUUUUCUUUUGUCAAAAGAUUCAAUGGGGAGCAUUUUCAACAUUCAGUCCCUCGGGUAAAACUCAAUGCAGUAAUAUUUUUUUGGGAAAGGCUUUUAUGCUUCCCCCAUAGCAUGGAAGUUUUAUCCUCCCCCUACCAUCCAGCCGUCCAAUUUUGAUCAAGAGUGUCACUCACCAUUUGAACUUAGAUCCGACGUCUCAAUAUUUUAUUUUUAUUUUUUUUAUACAAAUUAUAUAAAUAUAAAAUUUGGUAUGUCCUAUCUUCUCAUUGGGGAGCACCUAGAAAAAAUAUUAAAAAUAAUUUUUGAUAAAAUAUAAUGACCAAAAUACCCCUUAAAAAUUUCAGUAGUAUUUUGGUCAUUUUAUUUUAUUGAAAAUAUUUUUUUUAUAUUUUUGUCUAGUGCAAGCUUAAUAGAGGAAUGGACAUCCAAAAUUUGGUGUCAAAAUAAUUUAUAGAAAAUACUUAAAAAUAAAAUAGUGUAGAGAAGUGACAUUGUGAUUGGGACAAUCUUAGCCCUUCAUUCAGAAUGGACGGUUGGAUAAGGGGGAGGAUAGAACUUCUAUGUUGUAGGGGAAGCAUAGAAAUCUUGCCCUAUUUUUUUAUCAAUAAAUGUUGGGGACACAACAUUUGUAAUGGUUGGCUAUAGAUUUUAAAAAAAAAAAAAGAAAAAAAAAGAAAAAAAAAAAAGAAAUAUCAAAUGCAUUUUGUAUGUGCCAGAAAAUAUAAUGUCCUAAUAUUGCAUAGAGAUCGAUAAUUUUUAGAAGGUCAGAUCUAAACUUGGGAACUUAAAUCUGAUUAUUAUCAUUUUAGUAUAAUCAUCUAGUUAUUUUUAGGUGGAUUCUAAAAUUUUAGAUCGGAAAAAUUCUCCUUAGUAGCUCUUUUGCCUAAAAGAGUGAGUGUACAAUAUACGCUUACUGGCUCUUUUUCUAAACAUCGAGAUAGAGAGACUCUCCUUUGCACUUUUUACACUCUUUAGAGAGAGAUACUUUGUUUUCCAUUUGUUAUGUUGUCUUGGCCUGAGCGGGGCCAAGCCAACCAAAGCAUCACAAUAUCAUGGGAAUAUGAACUAGUUAAUAUUUCACCUAUUUUUAUUAAAUUCCAACAAGCUCACAUGGUCAUAAGUUAAAGUAGUUGAUUUUUUAGGUGUUUUGUUAUAAAUAGGUGAAAUGUUAGAUAGUCGAAAUUUUAGAUGAGUUUCGAUAAAUUUUCUUACCUAUGUAUUAUAUGUAUAAAUUUCAAUUAUAGAGAAGAUCUACAUACACAGACCCUAUUUUGGUCCUGGCCAAGGCCUGUCCCUAGGGCCACAUUUUGUGGCCCAAGCCCUAAAUUUUUAGGGCCUGGCCGACCGACCCGCCCAGCCCAUUGCCCCCCCUUAUUUACAUAUCACUUAAAGAUUGGUCCAGCACUACGAUGAAAUUCAAGAAACUUUUGGCAUAAAUUUUUGCACUAGUUUUCAUGAAACUAGUUUCAUAUUUUUACCCUUGCCUUUCAUUUUAUGCAAUUCCUGUAUCAGCUUAUGAGAAAAUAGCCAAAUGGGCAGAAAUCACCAAAAACAAAAAAAUAAAGUUUCUCCAAAAUCCAAAUUCAUGCGAAUGUUCUUGAUUUCGGCUUCUUUCUCUUAGAAGUGUAGAUCAAGAGAUAGAAAGGUACUAGAGCAACUUACAGUAGAUGACAGAUAGAGAGGUACCAAACCAAUUUCCAAUGAAAACAGUGAUUCUAACUACUAUAGUAAAAGGCACAGCCCGAGCCUGGUCCACCAUGGCCUAAUCAUAUCCACAUUUGAGUGAUAUAUAUCGAACCGAACCAAGUGGCAGCAUUGAAAAACAAUUUGAGCCAAGCUUGGGCUAAGUGUAGUCAGGCAAGCUCGGCACUGGCUGAGUCUAAAGAGACUGAGCCCAGCCUAUUGGCAGCCCUAAUCAUACCUGCAAUAUAUUUUUGUUUCAACUAUGUCUGUAAUUUUCUUAGGCAUUUGAUAAAUGCAGGAGAUGUAGCAGUGAUGAUAGAGGGAGAUGAGGUUGAUGAGAAUUGUUCAACGUCCAUAUCAAAUCGAUUCAUCGUUUGCAUCGGUUCAUAUUGUAGAAAGGAUUGUCAGACUCUUUAUCCCCAAGCACAUGGAGAAUGCACCGGAUUCUUUGAUUGCACCUGCACUUCCUUUUGUCGGGGUGGUCCGCACUGAUUUGGCUUGCAGCAGGCUGCCCUCUCACUCUCUCUCAGCUCUGUCGAUUUGUAUCGGUGUCUUGUUUGAUAUGGAUUCCAUUAUCUCUCUCUCUAUCUCUCUCUGAGUUCCGUCGAUUUGUAUUGGUAGUAAUCAGAUGUGAACUUUUUGCUACGGGUCUUCUUACAAGUCUUUUGAAAGGGGCACCUCUCUGAUCGGCUUCAUAUCAAUGUUCGCAAAAAUUGAAUCCCGGUAAAUGGGCCGGUUCAGACGGCUUAGCCGUGCAGGUCCCGGCUGGUCCAAUUAUUGGUCAAGAAAUACUAAUAAUAUAUUUAAAGCAUGAUUACACAAGGUGCAUUCAAAUGAAGUUGAAGAUUACUGAAAAAAUUGAUUUGUGGCCAGGGGUAUUUUUAAAAUUGGACUAGCCAAUUCCAAGUUGAACCGGUCGAGUUUGCGAACACAGCUUCAUAUAAUGUCUCUCCCAUCCAUCGUCUUGUACAUACAAUACCUUAUCUCUCUUCACCCACAAGGUCCACUCUCUUUUCUCCACCUCAUCCUUUUUAGUUUAUGUGUAAAAGAUGUUGGGCUUAUGUGGUCGGUAAAG
rnacentral:lncRNA from 1 species